GCGCCCCUCUCCGUGUGGAGCCCACCUGCAUGUACUGGCUCCCCAACAGGCACGGCAGGAGCGGCGGCCCAGCACUCGGCACUGGCCACUUGCAGACAAGAAGACAAGAAAAUGAUUUGAGGACAGCUUCAAUCGCGGUGUGAAGAAGAAAGCAGCAAAACGACCACUGAAAACAACGCCGGUGGCAAAACAUCCAAAGAAAGGGUCCCAAGCGGUACAUCGUCAUAGCUGGAAACAGUCAGAGCCACCAGCCAAUGAUCUUUUCAAUGCUGCGAAAGCUGCCGAAAGUGACAUGCAGUGUGGCCAUGAGCUCUGCCGGAAGUAACUUGUUGGUGUUAUCUCCUGAGUUAAAAUGUGAAGGGAUUUUUUUUUUUCAGAUGACUGAGAGUCUUCAGUUACUAGAUCCAGACACGGGGACUGCAGAGAAAGGCUGUGUGCAUCCGCUGUCUACUCCACUGUCUCCUCUGCAGAGGCGGAUUUCCCUGACUGAAGACCAUGUUGCAGGCCCACAGCUGCCUACAGGCCCUCUGGGCAACCGUCCCAAAAUAUGGCAAAGAAACCUAUUCUGAGAGAUAGGGUCUCACCAUGUUGCCCAGGCUGGUCUUGAACUCCUGGACUCAUCCUAAAGUGCUGGCCUCUCAUUCCCUGUCUGUGCACACCUCACGGCAAGGGCCAGCCCGUUUCCUCCCGGUCACCUCCAAAUCUUGCUGCUUUUAAUUCAACUCAGAGAAGGGAUUCAGCCACUUUGUGCUCACCACCUCUGGGGAAGGUGUGAGAGGAGAGAAGGAAGUGGCUGUUUGGCUGCUGACAAUAUGAAGACUUCCUGUGAUGAGAACAGAGGCACAGGUGCCGGCCCUGCAGCCCCCAGAACCCGGACUGGAGGGGGCCAUGGGGCGCCGGACCCUGGCCCUGCCCUGGGUGCUGCUGACCCUGCGUGUCACUGCGGGGACCCCGGAGGUGUGGGUGCAAGUUCGGAUGGAGGCCACCGAGCUCUCGUCCUUCACCAUCCGUUGUGGGUUCCUGGGGUCUGGCUCCAUCUCCCUGGUGACUGUGAGCUGGAGGGGCCCCGAUGGUGCUGGGGGGACCACGCUGGCUGUGUUGCACCCGGAACUUGGCAUCCGGCAAUGGGCCCCUGCUCGCCAGGCCCGCUGGGAAACCCAGAGCAGCGUCUCUCUUGCUCUGGAAGUCUCUGGGGCCAGCAGCCCCUGCGCCAACACCACCUUCUGCUGCAAGUUUGCGUCCUUCCCUGAGGGCUCCUGGGAGGGCUGUGGGAGCCUCCCGCCCAGCUCAGACCCAGGGCUCUCUGUCCCGCCGACUCCUGCCCCCAUUCUGCGGGCAGACCUGGCCGGGAUCUUGGGGGUCUCAGGAGUCCUUCUCUUUGACUGUGGCUACCUCCUUCAUCUGCUGUGCCGACAGAAGCACCGCCCUGCCCCUAGGCUCCAGCCAUUCCACACCAGCUCCCAGGCACUGAGAGCACGAGCAUGGGCACCCAGCCAGGACUCCCAGGCUGCUCUCCACGUCCCUUAUGCCACUGUCAACACCAGCUGCUGCCCAGCUACUUUGGACACAGCUCACCCCCGACGGGGGGCUGUCCUGGCAUAGGGCGCUGGCUAGGACUCCAGUACCAUGAAGGGAGGCAGUGAGAGCAGACAUCUGUGCCUCAUUCCUGAUCUCAAGGGGAAAGCAAGAACAGGGGAGGCUUCCUCAGGAUCUCGAACCUGUGGAAGGAGGACCAGUCUGUGUACUUCUGCCAAGUCCAGCUGGACAUACAGAUCAGGGAGGCUGUCGUGGCAGUCCAUCAAGGGGACCCACCUCACCAUCACCCAGGCCCUCAGGCAGCCCCUCCACAGGGCCCCUCUCCUGCCUGGACAGCUCUGCUGGUCUCCCCGUCCCCUGGAGAAGAACAAGGCCAUGGGUCAGCCCCUGCUGCUGCCCCUGCUGCUCCUGCUGCUGCCGCCAGCAUUUCUGCAGCCUGGAUUAUGUGAACUGGCUCUUUCUGAACUGGACAGAGGGUCAGAAGAGCGGCUUCCUCAGGAUCUCAAACCUGCGGAAGGAGGACCAGUCUGUGUAUUUCUGCCGAGUCGAGCUGGACACCCGGAGAUCAGGGAGGCAGCAGUUGCAGUCCAUCAAGGGGACCAAACUCACCAUCACCCAGGCUGUCACAACCACCACCACCUGGAGGCCCAGCAGCACAACCACCACAGCCGGCCUCAGGGUCACAGAAAGCAAAGGGCACUCAGAAUCAUGGCACCUAAGUCUGGACACUGCUAUCAGGGUUGCAUUGGCUGUCGCUGUGCUCAAAACUGUCAUUUUGGGACUGCUGUGCCUCCUUCUCCUGUGGUGGAGGAGAAGGAAAGAUAGCAGGGCGCCAAGCAGUGACUUCUGACCAACAGAGUGUGGGGAGAAGGGAUGUGUAUUAGCCCCGGAGGACGUGAUGUGAGACCCGCUUGUGAGUCCUCCACACUGGUUCCCCAUUGGCAAGAUACAUGGAGAGCACCCUGAGGACCUUUAAAAAGGCAAAGCCGCAAGGCAGAAGGAGGCUGGGUCCCUGAAUCACCGACUGGAGGAGAGUUACCUACAAGAGCCUUCAUCCAGGAGCAUCCACACUGCAAUGAUAUAGGAAUGAGGUCUGAACUCCACUGAAUUAAACCACUGGCAUUUGGGGGCUAUUUA
rnacentral:sRNA from 1 species